rnacentral:rRNA from 1 species
UAAUGCCGGAUGUGCCGGGCUCCUGCAUGGGGGUCCGGGAAAGCUCUGGCGGCGUGGGAUGGGGUCGCGUCCUAUCAGCUUGUUGGCGGGGUGAGGGCCCACCAAGGCGUUGACGGGUAGCCGGCCUGAGAGGGCGACCGGCCACAUUGGGACUGAGAUACGGCCCAGACUCCUACGGGAGGCAGCAGUGGGGAAUAUUGCACAAUGGGCGCAAGCCUGAUGCAGCGACGCCGCGUGCGGGAUGGAGGCCUUCGGGUUGUAAACCGCUUUUGUUCAAGGGCAAGGCACGGUCUCGGCCGUGUUGAGUGGAUUGUUCGAAUAAGCACCGGCUAACUACGUGCCAGCAGCCGCGGUAAUACGUAGGGUGCAAGCGUUAUCCGGAUUUAUUGGGCGUAAAGGGCUCGUAGGCGGUUCGUCGCGUCCGGUGUGAAAGUCCAUCGCUUAACGGUGGAUCCGCGCCGGGUACGGGCGGGCUUGAGUGCGGUAGGGGAGACUGGAAUUCCCGGUGUAACGGUGGAAUG